UACGGAGGGUGCAAGCGUUGUUCGGAAUUAUUGGGCGUAAAGGGCGCGUAGGCGGCUUGACAAGUCAAAGGUGAAAUCCCUCGGCUCAACUGAGGAACUGCCUUUGAAACUGUCUGGCUUGAGGCCGGGAGGGGGUAGCGGAAUUCCCAGUGUAGCGGUGAAAUGCGUAGAUAUUGGGAGGAACACCAGUGGCGAAGGCGGCUACCUGGACCGGUUCUGACGCUGAUGCGCGAAAGCGUGGGUAGCAAACAGG
rnacentral:rRNA from 1 species